rnacentral:lncRNA from 1 species
AUGGUCUAGCACUACUUUAGACGGUCUCUACCGAAAUAAUUUAAUUUGAUUGAUAAACGAUAAUUAUCAUUCAUUCAAGACCAAACAUAACAUAUUUACUCAAAGACCUCUUGAGUUAAUACACUUAUACCUUUCUGGACCUACCGAAACUGAAUCUAUUAGGGUUAAAAGAUAUAGUAUAGUCAUUGUUGAUGACUUUACAAGAUGGACAUGGGUUAAAUUCUUAAGCCACAACUUUCAAAGAUUUGGAGCACAUACCAUGUUUAGAGAAGGGCAUCCUUUAAUUGGUGAUUGUCCUGUGAUUUAACCUGGAGGAAGAUAAGAAUUAAAUUCAAUUUAUAUAUCUAUAUCUAUAUAUAAUAUUCAAUUUAUUAUUAUUAGAUCAAAUUAGUUUCUUAUAUAUUUAUAUGAUUAUGUUUUUGGUAUUAGCUUUUAUCCAUAAAAACUACAUCAAAGGUCAUCACAUCCACUAUUAAGCGAUAAUUUAGUGAGUCAUGAUUUACAUGGGAACAAUCCUAAGAGUGUUUAAGAUAUUUUCUUUCAGCCUUUUAAGGUAAGUGGUUGACCCUAGCUAAUCGUACUUGUUUUUUUCAUUUCAUUAUUGAUAUGUUUCUGGUCUCUUUACUUGCAUGAUAGGAAUAAUAAUACUACAACCAGUUCUCAAUAAAAAAUUGUUAGUUGAAUUCUUAUUAUGUUGUUGUAAUUUCACUUAUGACUGUACAAAAUAUCACAUUCAAAUUCUUUUCAAAAGAUUUGGACUUUUGUACGAUAGAAACUAGUGAAACGAAGAGAUAGAAAAGUACACAUCGAAUGGAAUUUACUUAAUUCAUAACGCCUAGUUUUUAGUGUAGAUUGAUCUGCAUAUCCAUACUCACUGCAUGUCUGGUUUAAAUUGAGUUUGGAAAUUUGCAGGCAUUUUCCCCAGGAAAAACAUCAUUCUCUAUACUGUUGUCUUUUAUGUAGGCAAUGUGGUGCAGUUUUGAUUUGCUAAUAUUUUGAAUAUGAAAGGAGACUUUUGGGGUUUCAAAAAGUUUAAUAGAAAAUAAUAAUAGGAAUGAGAAUAAAAUGUACUUAAUUUUAAGGUAGAGAAAGUUUAAUUGAAUAAUUUGAAUAAAAACCAUCAUUACAUAAUUUAGAUUUUAGGAACUACAAUGAAGCCAAUAUUGAUACGAGUCUUUCAAGUGGAAUGUACAGUUGUUGAAGUGGUUUUUAGGUUUUAAUCUCCAUGAGUGAGAACAAAAUGUUCCCAUCCUUGAGUAUCUUCUCUUCUUUUCUGCUGUGAGAUUUUGCAGAUAUGGUCAAACUACCACAUUUGAAACCUUUGUUAGAGCUCCUGGAUUAACUUUACUGCUUAGCUUUAGUGUAACUAAUUGCUUAUUCCCCUCUCUUUUUUUCAGUUCUAUUUAUAUUUUUGUACCUCUAUUUUUCUUUCCUUUUUUUUUGUGUCUAUCUGUUGUUGUUUCCAGCUUCAAACUUCAAUCAAUUGUCAUUAAUUUCAUUAUCUAAAUUCAAUUUUCUAGUUCGGUUAGUUCUAAAUUCAACUUUUUGUUUCUUUUUUCAUGGCACAGGUGUCUUACCAUGUUCCCAAAUCUUAAAGCAGAUCAAUUAUUAACACUACAAAUCUAUUUGAACUUGACAAAGUAACAAACAUUAUAAAUAUGAUAGGGGAUUCAUAUACACUAUGUAAUAAAAAGACAAAAAUUAUAAAAAAAAAACAGAUCAUAAAUAUAUAUUAUUAGUUUUAUAAGAAAUUUUUAUACACACUACUUAGACAUUUGAAUAAGACAAUUAAUAACAAUGUGCUGAGAUAUUUUUUUUUGUUGUUGGAUUUUUUAUUAUGUUUAAAUAAUACAUAUGCUUAUCUAAAUUAUGUUUCUUUUAUAAUUUUUUAUUUUUCAUAACUUAAAAGAUAGUUUUAUUUAUUUCACUACUACUUGAAUGUUGUAUCAGGUUGUAUUAGAAUUGUCUUUAGGAAUUUAUGAAAAGACCUCAAAGCUUAAGAAAAUGUAAUUUACCUACGGAUCAAUUCUAUAUGUAAUAUCUAUGGAUACAAUUUGUUCGUAAUUAUCAAUGGAUAUAAUUUGUAAUUACUUACAAAUCAUAUCCAUACAUAAUUACCUACAAAUCAAAUUUGUACAUGUAAAUAUAUAAAUAAGUUACCUACUUGUUGUAUUUACCUAUGAAUUUGAAAAAAUCGGUAGGUGAUUGUUACCUAUAAGAGAUUUACCUAAAGAUUUUGGCUGUAGGUAAUUCUCAAGUAACAAUUUAUCUACGGAUUCUAAUUAUUACCUAUGGAUUUUGACAGUAGAUAAUAACGAUUUUUCUACAAACCUUCUUUUCAAUUCUAUUUUCUUGAUUUCCCAUAAGCUCAUUGUUGGAGAUCUCACAUCGACUAGAGAUUAGGACAUUUCAUUGUAUAUAAGUGGGUGCAAACCUCACCUCAUGAGCCGGUUUUAUGGGGUUGAGUUAGGCUUAAAGUCCACUUCGUAACACUCAUUACCUUUUCCUUGAAUUCUCAUUCUUUUUUUUAAAAAUUUUUUUCUCAUGCUAUAAAUUUUCUUCCUUUUUCUAGAAGUUCUCUCAUUUCUUCUUUCAAGUUUUUUAUUUCUUUCAUAAAAAAGCGACACAAAUCAUGGCAAGUUAAUAUUUUUUUUGUUUUUAUCAAUUUCAACAUCAUAUUGUCUUUGUUUCUACCAAUCUUUAGCAUAUCCUACAACCUAGAAUAAAACAAAUUAGCAAUAUGAAAAUCACACAAUUAACAAUAAAUGAUAAUGUUUUCCAAUUUUUCUUUCCUACACAAAAUAUGAUUUAGGAUAAAUUUUAUUUUCAAAUGUGUGAAUUUGAUUUUCUACUCUCCACAAUCCAUCAUCCAUCAUGUACAAAAAUAAAAAAUAUAUAAACAAACAAACAAUUUGCAUAAUUAAGAAAAACAAAAUACAUGGAUUUCACCACUCUUACACUCAAUUCACCCAUGUAUCACUGUUGAAAGGCUAGACACUCUCACUCAAAUUCCUCUUUAGUUAUUAAGAAGAACUUUCACUCAACCUAUAAAAAAAAAUGUAACAAACCCUAAAGAUGUAACAAAUCCAAGUUCAACUUAAUGAGGUCAAGAAAAUAAAAAUCUAACAGAAUACCAAGAAAAUUUAAAGACAAACAAAAAAAGUAAAAAAAAAAAAAUUAAACCAAAGAAAAGUAUAAUACGGCAAAACUAAGAAUGUGACAAAGUGAAAAAUACUUUAGGACGAGAGUAAUUUAAACAAUAUAUUUAGAUUACUACUAGAAGAUUGUAAAAUAUGUAAGCUAAACAAUUAAAAAAUAAAGUUAUAAGAAAUGAAUCAAGACAACUCAACGGAAUGAAACUAAUUUGAACAUCAAUAAAAAAAAACUCAAUUAAAAAGAAAUCUAAUUCUCAAAAAAAUAUAGAACAACCACAAUUUUUUUUCUCAAGACUUAAUUUCAAAUUUAAAAGAAUUCUGAAAAUAUAUAGGCUAACACUAAGCUCCUAAUUUUGUAAUCUCAAAAUUUAAUCUCACACCGUUAAGAUCAUUUAAUAGUUUCUCACAAUAGUAUGUCUGUUAAGAAUAAAAAACUUAAUAACUCAAAGGGAAUUAAUAACACAUUACUCAAGUCAACUAGAGAAUAUGAAGAAAAUAUUUAAAACAACAUGAAAAGAUUUUUUAUUUAUUUUUCACAAGAACACCAAACCAUAUAUGCGUACCACUUUAGAAAAAUGUGUUGGAGUGAUUGUUCAAUUUAUACCCAAGUAGCAAUAAUCCUCCAAUAGUUUUCUUGCUCCAAUUUCAAUGUCCACUGUGUCAUCUCAUGCUUUCCAAAUCACGUGAUAACUGGAUUCUCUUAGGCUGAUUCAUGUGGUCGCCAACUCCAACUUCAUUCAGUGGAUUCAAAUUAUUUUAUAAGAAAAAUUCCAGACGCCUGCAAAGGUUCAAUGUCAGUGAGCUACUUGACGAAAUUCAAUUCCAAAUUUUCACCGAACAACAAGUUUGUAUUGAGUCUAAUUUAAUUCAAUCUACAAAAUCAACAAAGUCAGUUUUCAAAUAAAGUGCAUGGCUUCAACCUCUGUUUCAGCUGCUUCAAUUUUUUUUUCAACUUUGUCGUGCCAGGAUUUGACCAAAUUAAAUAAAGGCAAUCACUCAAUGCGUUAAUGAAUCAAGCUUCAGCGAAAUUAACUGCAACCACUGUUUCACUGCAUCAAAAUUAAAUGAAUCUCAGUUCAAUUACGAAGGCCAACGAACUGUUUGGAAAAGGAAGAAGACAACUUACUGAUAGUGUAACAAAAUGAUACAUAGCUUGGAAUUGACCAAUUUCAGUUCUCGUGAAGUCAUUGAACCCAUUCCUUGCGUGCAUGCCUUAUCUUUGACGAAAAGCGUCAAAGACACCUCACUUUCGCUUUAAUCUGUUGCAUGACUUGUGCUUGCGUUAACAAUUUCUACACAGAAUCAUAUAUUGCUUAAUUCAGCUCAGAAUCAUCACAGCUAGUGCUGAAUCAAAUUGAGCAAAGAGCAUUUGCAAUUACGCUUCGUUGCACAAUUUACGCUCUUCGAAACAAGGAGCAAACGGUAUUCACGUAUCCAAUUCCUCAGUAUUCAUGUAGCUACUUCAAUUCUCUGCGAGGCUAUGAUUGGACUCGAAAACCACACGUGUCUCAUGUACCUGCUUGAUUCAAAAUCAGACCGUGCGAACAAAUUGAAUUCAAUCCUUACUUAAGAGAAUGCGCUCAGUAGUUGAUUGAACAACGAUUUGCUUCAAAUGGUCAGUGCGUAUAGGGCUAGGAACAUCACCUUCUACCGAGUGCGCUAGCAGAAUCAAAGCACCGUUUCAAAAAUCCUCCGCUGGACCGCACCACCGAGUUGUUGUUUCCAGAAUCAUUGGAAAUUGAAUCGCAAUAGCUUCAAUUACCGCUUUAAUGAAGAACACCGAAAUAGCUCCGAUCAAUACCAAAAGAACACCGCAUUUGAAUUUCAAUUGUAGAAAAAGCCUUGCGAAAAGCAACUUCACUCGCGCAAAGAAAAAUUGAAUCGCAUCCGAAUCAUAGAAUCGCACCGAAUCAUAGAACGCGCCAAAUCGAGGAACGAAUAAGGAAACAGAAAAUAAAUUGCUAACUACACCACCGAAAAAAAGUUAAAUUACGGCAAUUUUUUGGAAUUGUUACGGAAAUUUCGAAACUAAUAAGGGAAAUGUUGGAAGUAAGUUCUCAUACCAAGAAUACUAAUAUCGUGUGGGAUGUUUCUGAUCAUUUCCAGCAAACUAUUGAUAGAACAGAAAAUGCAGAAGUGAUAAGGGAUAAAGAAACUUCAAUCUUCACAAUCAAAUCAAAAGAAAUAUACGAGUAGAGGAAGAUGAAUAAGGAUUAAAAUUUAUAACGAAGUACUAAGAGAAUUUUCACUCAUGAAAAUUAUUCAAAUUCUAAAAUGAUCAAUUUUGAGUAAAAAAUUUUAUGAAAAGUCUUAUAUAUAACAAGUCUUUAAAAGGUAGGAUCUAAAAAAUUUCUAAUCACAAAAUAUAAAAUAAAUACAAGGUCCAAUACAAAUAAAUGAAAAACAAUUACAAGGCCCAACAAAGGCUCAAAAUUAAAAAUUACAACAAAAAUACAAAAAUUAUACUCUUGCUUCAAGUCUUCUUCAUGGUCUUUUAGGAGUUCUCAUUCAUGAUGUCAUUAUAAUUCAUCUUGCAAAUAUUCUUAGUGUAAGCAAGGCAAGUCUAUGUUCCAAGAGUUAAUGGACAAAAAAAGGAGUGAGAGUAAUAUUAAGAGGAAAUCACACAUGACGAGAUCAUUGGAGUUGGUCGGAAAGGUGUGAAACAUUCACCUUCUAUUGAGAAUAUUUUUUUGGUUGAUAAUCUAAAGUACAAUAUAUUGAGUAUAAGUUAAUUGUGUGAGUAGAUGUGAUGUUGUGUUCAACAAAGACUAAUGUAUAGUAAAAAAUAAUGAUGAGACUAAAUUAUUUACUACUAAUAUGGCAACUCAAAAGGUUUCAUGCUUUAUUAAAAUCGAGGAAUAUUAUUGGUUUUAACACAAAAAAGUGUGGUCAUGCAAGUCUUAGAUUAAUACAAGUAAGGAUGAAGAAGAACUUGUUGAAAAUAGAGAAAAGGAAACAAGAUGAAUAAAUACAAGAAGUAUGACAAGAAAAAAUAAAGAAGAAAUGUAAAUGGAGAAUUCCAAGAGGAAAGCUUCAAGUUUUAGAAGAAGAGCUAAAAAGUCAUGUGAGCCAGAAGAUUUCUAAAAUAUGCUUUAGAGAAGUUAGGUCGGGUUUUACAAGACAAGACGUCUCUUUUGGAGGGAUUUUAACUAUUUUUUCUUCUUGUGACUCUUAAUACAAGUAAGAAUGAAGAAUAACUUGUUGAAAAUAGAGAAAAAGAAACAAGAUGAAUAAAUACAAGAAGUAUGACAAGAAAAAAUAAAGAAGAAGAAUUUAAGAAUAAAUGUAAAUGGAGGAUUCCAAGAGGAAAGCUUCA